UUCGGCUUGCCCAUGCGUUGCCCUGUUGGAGGCUGCUGCAAUUCUGGCCCAAGUGCUCCAGACCGACUUAGAAUUUGAUGAUUUGGACGCAACUUAAUCCUGAUUAUCAGAGGCUUUUUCGGCUGCUCCAGUUGAGGCUCCGCUCCAGGUUGUGAGUAUGACAAAGAAGCUUUCUUUUCAUCUGGAGCAUGGUGUCUUGAAGAUGACUGCAAUUGAUUUUGCACUGCUUUCAGUUUAUUCAAUUCAGCAUAAACUUCUUCUUGUCCAAAAUUCUUAUUUGCAACUGCUUGUUGCAACUGAUUUUCCAUUGCUUUCGAUUUAUUCGAUUCACCAUAAAAUUCUUCUUGUCCCAAAUUCUUAUUUGCAACUGCUGGCCUUUGGAUGGAUGGUUUGUGCCUGUGAGAGCCAUGAAGAUCUUUCAACGACGGUGGUUGAUUCUUUGGUGCUGAGUUCUUCUUGAAAGUAUCGUGUACACCAGAAUCUUUUAUGGCGUGUAUGUACUUGGGCUCAAUGCUUGUAUGUACUUGUUUAGACAAAUUAUCACCUGAAUGAAGUAUCAAAAAGAAAGUAUUUUAAGCUGUUAGAGAACAAACCGUAAGAACAGUAAAGCAGAUGCAUUCUUAUAUAUAAAGAGUCACAAAUUAACUGAAUUGGCAGCGAACUUUACCAAGUUUAGGCCUUUUUGCAGGUGGUGCAGGAAGUUCAGAAUCCGGGCCGAACAGGAAAGAAUAGUCCCGAGAUUCUCUAAUCAUUUGACAUUUCAUUUUUCGAUCAAGAACACUAACUGAUGGAGUUUUGUCCUGGAUGGGGCAAUUAAAAUAUGAUUAUUUUAAUGCUAAACUAGACCCAAUAACCUUAAGCAAAAAUGGAAAUUGUAAAUUGAAAACUGUCUUACGAUACAAACGAACAUACACUCGGGAGUGAGAUGAUAAUACUCACAGUAAUGGUGGGCUUUACAGCCUUGGUUGCCAACGGCCGCUGCCUCAGUGUUCUUUCUCUGAUUAGUCUUUUAACGGCGGCAGGUUGGGAGGAGUCAGAUAUGAAGAAUGAACCAGAGCUGCUGUAAAGAUAAAGGCAUAACAGAUUAGAUAUUAGGGCAAUCGGAAGCUUGAAACUAUUACUACUUUAGGGCAUAAAUCAUAAAGGAAUAGAAAAUCAAGAACUCUUUGGAAGUUCUUGCAGGAAAAAGACGUUAUAAACGUUAAAUCAAAUUAAAUAAAACUAAUCUUCUUCUCAUGAAAAAAAGACUCAAUGUUUCUUCUUAAGAAAAUAAAUCGCAGAAGGGAGAAGAAAAAAUCGUAAGGCAAGGAACCUUGUAUGAAACCCCACGUCCAUGGUCUCCUUAGAAAAGGAGAGACGUAAAUAUCAACAGCGAGAAUCAUGUCUUUCGGAUUCUCCAACCUCGAGCUACUCAAGAACAGAAUCAAGAUUCCCAUAUCGUUCGACUACAAAAACUGGCGAAAUUCCCGGAUUUCAGAUUGAAUCCUUCCGAAGGCCGGUCGAAAUCAGAAAUCUUGAUCGGUGAUUCUCUCUCGUUCUUGGUCAACUGGGAGAAAUUGACCCGGGCUGCCGAGAGCCUGGUUAUCGGCAGAGAAGAAGAAAGCCAAGCCGUGACCGAUUCUUGGUCCGAGACUUAAACUGGGUCCGACUCUCUGGUGAGUCCCACGACCCCGUUUCAGAGGUGAGAAUGUUGCAGAACGUGAAAGAAGAGAAAUUGAAGAAGACAUUCUCCUCCGCUGUUCUCCUUCGACUCCAAGAAAAUAAUAACUGGAAAAAGAAGUCCAAAGGGAUGAAAUCACUUACAGAUUUUUCUUCCUCAUUUUUGUUUUAACAGAUUCUCGGAGGAUAUUACUGGCGCAAAAGGUACGAAAAGAUGAGAAUGGAAGCGGCAGAGAGUCGAGAAAAUCGGAUGAUAUUACGCAGAGGAUGAAGUGGCGCGGGGAAGACGAAGUGUUGGGUAUUUAUAGGGUAACAAUAAUAAAAACGAUGUCGUUUUCUGCGGUUGUAUUAAAACGAUGUCGUUUGGAUGUUUGAAGAAGAUGGGUCGGGCUCUUCCUCUGGUUUUUUUUGCUGGGCUUUUGGAUAUUAUUUUGUGGUAAUUGAUUAAAACGGCUAAGCUUUAGGUUUUAUUGUGUUGGGUUCCUUAAUUUGGGUCUUGAAAAGUUUCAAGGUAUGUCCAAUAAGAAAUGUUCCCUAACUCAUCUUCCCAGCUGCCACUCCUGUAUUAAUGAACCAACUGGGAUUCUUCAUAGUAUCCCCAGCAACCAUGAAUUUUGAAGAGCUUCACCGAUCAAACCCAGAAAAAGAAGCCCUUAUACCUAAGUUGCAGAAAAUUUCCUCCAUUAAAAUGGCAUUCUUGACGCUUGAUCAACUGGCUUUUGUAUUUGGUCUCUUGGGUACAAACUACAGAGCUUCAUAUUUUUUCUUGGAUAAUUUUGUGUUCUUAAUCUAUAUAUAUUAAUUUCUCUGGUCUGCUAAUUUCUUGUUUUGCACAGGUAAUAUUGUGUCAUUCAUGGUGUUCUCGGCCCCAGUGUGAAGAGCAUUUCCCUUCCCUACUAACCUAUAUAUAAUAUUUAUAUCAUAUUCAUGUUUAAAUUAGUUUACUAAUUAUCUAUAAAACUUAAAUAGAUAAUAAUGUCAUCUAAUACAUUAUUUAUACUGUAACGUAUUUUUUAUACAUAAUUUCACAAAAAUUAAAAUAUAAAUAACGCACGAUACUAAAUUUUACAUAAAAUUAAAUUUUAAUAAAAAUUGUGUAUUAGAAAUUAAAUACUAAUUCUUUUAUUCUCAUAGUUUAUUAAAUAGUAGAGUGAAUCUAUUAUGGUCAAAAGAUUAAAUUGAUAAAAAAAUUAUUCAAUCAACUAUUUAUGUUUUAAUAGUACGAAUAUUUUGUUCAAAAUUUUUAAAUGGGUUUAUAAUUAAAUGUGUUGGUGAUAUUGCAGAGACCGGUGCUACGGACCAAGAGUGUUGAAUACAUGUCUUUCCUUUUGUCUUUCUUCCUAACUCUCUUUGCUACAAUGUAGUUCUUUUAUGGACUUUUUGUUAAGGAAUACUUCGUUGCAGUGAGUACUAUGAUUUCAUACAACUACCUACAUAAAUAUGUGGGUGUGUGUGUAUAUAUAUUUUAUAUAUAUAAUAUUUAUCGUGUUUUCAGCUACCAAAUGUGUUGGGAUUCAUGUUUGGAAUUGCUCAGAUGAUAUUAUACAUGAUAUAUAAGGAUGCAAACAAGAAUGGUGAUACAAAAUUGAGGGAGAAGAAUCAAGCUGUGUCGACUUCUAUGGUAUCAAUCAAGAACAUAGUUGAUGAUCAAGUAAAAUAUAGAGACAAAAAGAUCUGCACUUACAGCAACUCAAAUGUUAACAAUGUCUAAAUUAUCAUAUCACAAGGGUUUUUUUAUUAGAUUAAUAGAAACUAUUUUUUUUUUAAAAAUAUCUGUUGGUGAUUUUUAAAAAUUAAGUUAUUAUUAGUAUUUGAAAAAUGAAAAUACGCAGUGGUAGAAAAAAGAGUAAUAGUUAUGGAUGUCUCAGUUGUACAUACAAGUAUGAAUUAGUUAUAUUUAUUUAUUUUUAUAUAAUUUUUUUAUAAAUAAGUUGUCCGAGUAUCAUUAUCUCAUAAAUUGUAUUAAUUUAUAUACGAGUUCGAUAAAGACGUACUUUAUAAAACUCUUAAUAUAUUAAAGUAAUAAUUUAUAAUUUUAUAAGUAUAACCGGUACAUUCUAAUUUUUUUUUUUAUAUUAUUUAAACAAAAAUUUGAAUUGACUUGAUUAUAGUUACGAUAUUGACAUUAACAACCUCGAAAAAUUAAUAUUAUAAAUGUACAAGUAUGUCCCUUACAAAUCUUGGUUUUCAAAAGUUAUACUAUGAAUAACAGUGUUCUCUAUAAUUCGCAGAAUCUACAAUAUUUCACUUUAAAAAUAUUUUCCUUUUUCUAGCAUUAUGUUCACAAUAAUUCCAUAAGUAUCUAAAAACUCACUUCCCAAAUCCCAAAUACACCCAAUACACUCAUUUUUCUUUUUCUUUUUCUUUAGAAUCUCUCUUUCCUUUUUCUCUCUGUUUUUUUUUUUUUUUUUGUAUGGGGGGGUCUUCACUGCUACAAACUUUCUCACAGAAUUCUUCUUCAAUUCAAAGUCACUCGAAUUUAGCCUCCUUCCUGCCAAUUUUUGCACUGUAAAUACAAAGUAUUCAAAAAUUUAUGAGAUUACACAUCUCAGCAAAUGCAAACAAAAGGCAGAAAACAUUUGGAAUUAAGCAAACUACCAUACCUUCUCCCCUCCUCCUUCUGGAUAUCUUCAAAACUGGAGACCAUGCAUUCGAUAUCUCCAUCGUUGUAAACAGCUUUCAUAUAGCUAUUUCUGGCAUAAACCAUAUAUAAUUCAGCCAUGAAAAUAUGUGUUUUUUGAAUAAAAUAUUAUAGGAAAAUAACAUUUAACCAUGUAAAAUGGAAAAAAAAAUUGAUAAUAUGAAAAUCAAAAGGUCUUACCUAGCUAAUUUUUGAAGAAUUGAGUUCAUUUGAGACUCGAUAUACUCUUCAUCAACAAUUGAAGGCCUAGGGCGUUUAAGCUGGCACCCACCACAAAUGAAAACAACUCAGAAAGUGUCCAAGUUCCAAAAUUUCACACUAUGCAAAAUGAAAAAGAAAACGAAAGAUCGUGCCUGUGUGCAUUUACAUGCUUAUACUUGAGAGAAUUAUAUAAGUUUACCUCAUGUUUUUGAACAAUUAUCGGCUUUCCCAUGCGUUGUCCGGUUGGAGGCUGCAAAUUCUGCAAAUGUGCUUUAGAAUGAAUACAAUGAUUGGAAACAACUUAAGCCUAACUAUUAGAAUUUUUUUUUUUUUUUUCCUUUGGACUAUGUGCGUUUACAUCCUUAUCAUCGAGAGAUAAAGAGCUUCACCUCAUGUCCUUGAAUAAGCUUGGGCUUCCCCAUGCCAAGCUGUGUAGGAAGCUAUAAUGUUUACAAAGGUGUUUCAAAGUGAAUAUAUUGGGACACAACUUAAGUCCAAUUACAAGAUAUUUAUUUUGUCUAUAUGCAAUUACGCGCUUAUAUUUGAGAGAUAAAGAGUUUCACCUCAUGUCUUUGAAAAAGCUUCAGCUUCCCCAUACCACGCCCUGUAGGAAGCUGCAAUUUUUGAAAAGUGCUUCAGAAUAAAUAGAUUGAGAUUGCAGCUAAAGCUUGAUUGUAAGAUGAUUUCUUUUGUAUAUGCCCAAUUACAUGCUUAUACUUGAGAAAUAAAGAGUUUUACCUCAUCUCUUUGAAUAAGAUUCGGCUUCCCCAUGCCAUGCCUUGUUGGAGCCUGCAGUUUUUCAAAGGUGUUUCAGAAUGAAUCAAUUGAGAUGCAGCUGAAGCCUGAUUGCCGAUGAUUUCUUUUGUCUACGUGCAAUUACAUUCUUAUACUUGAGAACUAAAGAGUUUCACCUCUUGUCUUUGAAUAAGCUUCGGCCUCCCCAUGCAAUAGCCUGUUGGAGCCUGCAAUUUUUCAAAGGUGUUUCAGAAUGAAUUGAUUGAGACGCAGCUGAAGCCUGAUUGCCGAUGCUUUCUUUUGUCUACGUGAGAUUACAUGUUCAAACUUGAGAAAUAAAGAGUUUUACCUCAUGUCUUUGAAUAAGCUUCGGCUUCCCCAUGUCUUCCCUUGUUGGAGCCUGCAAUUUUUCAAAUGUGCUUUAGAAUGAAUUGAUUGGGACGCAACUGAAGCCUGAUUGCCGAUGAUUUCUUUUGUCUACGUGCAAUGACAUGCUUAUACUUGAGAACAAAAGCGUUUCACCUCAUGUCUUUGAAUAAGUUUCGGUUUUCCCAUGCCAUGCCCUGUUGUAGGCUGCAUUUUGCAAAAAUGCUUCGGAAUGAAUUGAUCGAAUGCAACUUAAGCCAAAUUACCAUAAAUUUCUUUUGUCUGUGUGUAUUUAUAUGUUCAAACUUGAGAUAUAAAGAGCUGACCUUAACCUCUUGUCUUUUAAUAAUCUUCGGCUUGCCCAUGCGUUGCCCUGUUGGAGGCUGCUGCAAUUCUGGCCCAAGUGCUCCAGACCGACUUAGAAUUUGAUGAUUUGGACGCAACUUAAUCCUGAUUAUCAGAGGCUUUUUCGGCUGCUCCAGUUGAGGCUCCGCUCCAGGUUGUGAGUAUGAAAAAGAAGCUUUCUUUUCAUCUGGAGCACGGUGUCUUGAAGAUGACUGCAACUGAUUUUGCACUGCUUUUAGUUUAUUCAAUUCAGCAUAAACUUCUUCUUGUCCAAAAUUCUUAUUUGCAACUGCUUGUUGCAAC
rnacentral:lncRNA from 1 species